rnacentral:rRNA from 1 species
GUCUACUGCCACACCACCCUGAACGUGCCGAUCUCGUCUGAUCUCAGAAGCUAAGCAGGAUCGGGCCUGGUUAGUACUUGGAUGGGAGAAAAGAACUUUCACAAGAAGACA